rnacentral:rRNA from 1 species
UACGGAGGGCGCAAGCGUUGUUCGGAAUCACUGGGCGUAAAGCGCGUGUAGGCGGCCUGGUAAGUCGGGUGUGAAAUCCCGGGGCCCAACCCCGGAACUGCAUUCGAAACUGCCUCGCUGGAGUCCCGGAGAGGAAGGCGGAAUUCACGGUGUAGAGGUGAAAUUCGUAGAUAUCGGGAGGAACACCAGUGGCGAAGGCGGCCUUCUGGACGGUGACUGACGCUGAGACGCGAAAGCGUCGGGAGCAAACAGG